rnacentral:rRNA from 1 species
UUGAACGCUGGCGGCAUGCUUUACACAUGCAAGUCGAACGGCAGCGCGGGGCAACCUGGCGGCGAGUGGCGAACGGGUGAGUAAUAUAUCGGAACGUACCCAGAAGUGGGGGAUAACGUAGCGAAAGUUACGCUAAUACCGCAUACGAUCUACGGAUGAAAGUAGGGGACCGCAAGGCCUUAUGCUUUUGGAGCGGCCGAUAUCUGAUUAGCUAGUUGGCGAGGUAAAGGCUCACCAAGGCGACGAUCAGUAGCUGGUCUGAGAGGACGACCAGCCACACUGGAACUGAGACACGGUCCAGACUCCUACGGGAGGCAGCAGUGGGGAAUUUUGGACAAUGGGCGCAAGCCUGAUCCAGCAAUGCCGCGUGAGUGAAGAAGGCCUUCGGGUUGUAAAGCUCUUUUGUCAGGGAAGAAACGGUAGAGGCUAAUAUCCUUUGCUAAUGACGGUACCUGAAGAAUAAGCACCGGCUAACUACGUG